GGACGAACGCUGGCGGCGCGCCUAAUACAUGCAAGUUGAGCGCUGAAGGUUGGUACUUGUACCAACUGGAUGAGCAGCGAACGGGUGAGUAACGCGUGGGGAAUCUGCCUUUGAGCGGGGGACAACAUUUGGAAACGAAUGCUAAUACCGCAUAAAAACUUUAAACACAAGUUUUAAGUUUGAAAGAUGCAAUUGCAUCACUCAAAGAUGAUCCCGCGUUGUAUUAGCUAGUUGGUGAGGUAAAGGCUCACCAAGGCGAUGAUACAUAGCCGACCUGAGAGGGUGAUCGGCCACAUUGGGACUGAGACACGGCCCAAACUCCUACGGGAGGCAGCAGUAGGGAAUCUUCGGCAAUGGACGAAAGUCUGACCGAGCAACGCCGCGUGAGUGAAGAAGGUUUUCGGAUCGUAAAACUCUGUUGGUAGAGAAGAACGUUGGUGAGAGUGGAAAGCUCAUCAAGUGACGGUAACUACCCAGAAAGGGACGGCUAACUACGUG
rnacentral:rRNA from 1 species